rnacentral:tRNA from 1 species
ACUUGAGUGGCUUAGUUGGUUAAGCAUCUGACUUCAGCUCAGGUCAUGAUAUCACAGUUUGUGAGUUCAAGCCCCCCAUCAGGUU